rnacentral:rRNA from 1 species
GUCCACGCCGUAAACGAUGAGUGCUAGGUGUCACGGGCUUUGACCCUCGUGGUGCCGCAGCUAACGCGUUAAGCACUCCGCCUGGGGAGUACGGCCGCAAGGCUAAAACUCAAAGGAAUUGACGGGGGCCCGCACAAGCGGUGGAGCAUGUUGUUCAAUUCGACGCAACGCGAAGAACCUUACCUGGGCUAGAAAGUACGGGAAUUCGGGCGAAAGUUCGAAGUGCCCUUCGGGGAACCCGUAGUUAGGUGCUGCAUGGCUGUCGU